rnacentral:rRNA from 1 species
ACGGGUGAGUAACACGUGAGCAACCUGCCCUGGACUCUGGGAUAAGCGCUGGAAACGGCGUCUAAUACUGGAUAUGAGCUCCUAUCGCAUGGUGGGGGUUGGAAAGAUUUUUUGGUCUGGGAUGGGCUCGCGGCCUAUCAGCUUGUUGGUGAGGUAAUGGCUCACCAAGGCGUCGACGGGUAGCCGGCCUGAGAGGGUGACCGGCCACACUGGGACUGAGACACGGCCCAGACUCCUACGGGAGGCAGCAGUGGGGAAUAUUGCACAAUGGGCGAAAGCCUGAUGCAGCAACGCCGCGCGAGGGAUGACGGCCUUCGGGUUGUAAACCUCUUUUAGCAGGGAAGAAGCGAAAGUGACGGUACCUGCAGAAAAAGCGCCGGCUAACUACGUGCCAGCAGCCGCGGUAAUACGUAGGGCGCAAGCGUUAUCCGGAAUUAUUGGGCGUAAAGAGCUCGUAGGCGGUUUGUCGCGUCUGCUGUGAAAUCCCGAGGCUCAACCUCGGGCCUGCAGUGGGUACGGGCAGACUAGAGUGCGGUAGGGGAGAUUGGAAUUCCUGGUGUAGCGGUGGAAUGCGCAGA